UGAUGAUCUGGGUCCUCGGAGCUCUGACGGUUUUCCUUUUCGUGGUCGUCAUCUGUCUGGUCGUUAAAAUCAGAAAGCUUCACAAAGUAGCUCAUGUUGAAGAACAGAAGUCACAAGAGACACAGAGACAGAGCUCAGACGACCUCGACUAUGCAGCUGUGACUUUUCAUCCAAAAACUGAAAGACACUACAGGCCUGCCUCAGAAGCAGAAAUGGACCCAGAUGUUAUUUAUUCUGCCACAAAAUAGUAUCAGGAAGCACGUGGAGCUGCAGAACGGAGUGGAACUGCUGCAAAAUGGGCAUUCUGUACAUCAUAAUCAUGACAGUUUUUUAAAUAUGAUUGAUGUUUAGUGGAUAGAGUUGAACAGUGACCUGCUGUAUAUUCUCUUAUAUCGAUGUGUAUGCAGCGGUGCAGCAGUGUCAUAUUUAACUGUUGUUCAACCAUACAUAGUCAACUGUGGUCGAGAGUAAUCUGUCAUACGAAAAAAGGAGCACACUUUACAGCUGGUCUAGAAGCACCAUACAGCUAUAAAUGCAUUGACACAAUCGUCACAGGAAGAGCGGUCUCUGAAGUUAUAAAAAUCUUCUGUACAGUCGCUUGUGAAACUUAUUAACUGAAUGUUGCACGUUCAUGCGCAGCAAAGCCACAGCAGAAGCACUUAACUAACUUUAACCCUACACCCCCAGUGACACAUGAAACCCACGACCAUCCCACUGUAAAUGUUCCUUUUGUUGUAUGUACAGUGAAUUUAUUUUUGAGUACAUUUAGUAUAUUUGAGUGUGUAUAUGUUUAUGAUUUAUUUUAUCUCAUCUUAUUUUAAAUUUCUUAUGCAACAAACAUUCAGGCUAACUCCUUGUAUGUACAAAUAUUCUUGGCAAUAAAGUCUU